rnacentral:lncRNA from 1 species
CCAGCCCGGCCAUGCCCGGACCGACAACAAUGGUUUCCCCCUCCUAAGGGCGUUGUCGUGCCGUCUCAUCCCUCAAGGGUGUUUGUCGGGCAAAAGCCCAAUCUUGGCUCUUUUGAGUCCCCGACGGACGGCGGCGGCGGUUUUCCGUCGCUUAUCUCCUUGGAGACGUCGUUUAGGCAUCCCCUUGUCAAAAACCACUCGAACGAUUGGUGCAAGCACACUCUAGAUAGAGUUGGCUUUGUGUUGGUUCGGCGGUCGGUCACGCUUAGCCUCAGCCGGUCCAGUGCUAGUCUUCUCUCGGACCUAUGUGUUGGCACUGUCGUAGAACUUCGCACCGUCUCGUGCGAGUCGUUAACAAAAAAUGUCCUUUGA